GUAACGCGUGAGGAACCUGCCUCAAAGAGGGGGACAACAGUUGGAAACGACUGCUAAUACCGCAUAAGCCCACGGGUCGGCAUCGACCAGAGGGAAAAGGAGCAAUCCGCUUUGAGAUGGCCUCGCGUCCGAUUAGCUAGUUGGUGAGGUAAUGGCCCACCAAGGCGACGAUCAGUAGCCGGCUUGAGAGAGUGAACGGCCACAUUGGGACUGAGACACGGCCCAAACUCCUACGGGAGGCAGCAUG
rnacentral:rRNA from 1 species